CAUAAAUCAUUUACUGCAAUUUCAUUCUUCAAUAAAACCUUUUGUCUUCCAUAGUCUGCAUAAAACAUGAAAAAAUGGAGAACCAUUUCAAAUCUGCUGCUUAGCUCCAUCUCUAUCUAAAGUCGUUCUCUCAAUACCGCUUCAUCGUCUUUGUCUCCAUCAGCUCCAUCUCUAUCUGUUGUUACAUAUUCUGUGCAUCCCAUUCGUUUUUGCUUUGUUAGUCAUCUGAUUUCACUUCUCUUAUUGCAGUGUUUGAAGCUGAAACAUGGCUCGCCCAAUCGAAGAAGUGAAAGACAUCAAUGAGUCCAAAGAUUUGUGGAAGAUAGCAGUUAGAUGCAAGCAUCUAUGGUCUGUGACAAGUUCUUCAAACAAAGAACACAUAGAGAUGGUUUUGGUUGAUUCGAAGCGUGAUAUGAUUCAAGCUAUUGUCCCUACUUAUUUGGUUUCCAAAUUCAAAUCUGAACUUGAAUCAGGAACCUCUUAUAUCAUGCAAAAUUUCAAAGUUGGGAAGAAUGAUUUUGCUUUUAAAUCGACAAAUCAUUCAUACAAAUUGGCUUUCUGUGGAUCAACUUCUGUUAAGAAAGCAGACUUUCCGGACAUCCCUCAUUACUACCUAAACAUUAUUGGUUUGGAUUCCAUAGUUGAAGGAAAGUUUCAAUCAAAUGUUUUGGUUGAUAUUCUUGGAGGAGUCUGAUAUCUCUCAAACCCAAGUAAACGGUGACAGUAGCAAGAACAGGAUUGUUUUUUCAAUUGUAGAUGCCAGCAAAACAGUUGUACGAUGUACUCUUUGGGGACAACUUCCAGUUCAACUAUAUGAGUAUUAUAAGAAUAAUAAGGAAGACUCUAACAUUGUCAUUGUCCUAAUCAAUGCAAGGGUUAAAGAGGCUCAAGGAGGAUUCCCUGUUAGUGUUUCCAACACAUGGAAUAGAACGAAGUUAUUGAUUAAUGACAUUCGUAUUGAUGAAGUUAAGAAUCUAAAAUAAAGACUCGGUGUUGAUUUGUCGUUGUUAUCUUCUUCAAGUGUGCAAGUUGAAGCAACACAAAACUCAUUUUAUUCUGACUAUGACAAAUUUGUUUGGAAAGCUGAAAUAAUGAGUCUCUCUGAGAUUACAAAUCUGCAACAAGAAACAACCUGUGUGACCGUUGCUACUCUGGAUAAAUUUGAAGCUGGGAAGAUGGGCUGGUUUUAUGAUGGCUGUGUGGAAUGCACAAGGAGUGUGACUGUGAAGGAUGGAAAGCUGAAGUGUUAUAAGGAACAUAUCAGCUCAAAACCUGUGCCACGGUAUAAGCUUGAUGUAACAGCUGUUGACGGUAAAUCCAAGGCGGAGUUUGUCUUUUGGGACACCGACUGCGUUAAGUUAAUUGGAAAGUCUGCUCUUCAAAUGAAAACGGAUUUAAUACAGUCUGGUGAUUACGAUCCACUUGAAUUCCCUUACGAACUUGACUCAAUAUUGAAGAAGGAAUUGGCAAUUAGAGUUGUAUUCCAGCACAAGAAUGGAUGACUUUCUGUCAUUGGCUUCAAAGAUGAUGAAGAUUCCCAUAAUAAAAUUAAGGACAGUUUCAAAUUUGAAGAGCAGACUUCCAAGCUUCAAGCCCCUGAUCCUUUGUCACAAGAUGAUAUGAUAAGCAUUUAUGAACCUAUAUCUGCAUCUGCAGAAAAUGAUCCGUCAAAUGAAAAUUCUGGACUGACUCCAUCUAAGAGCCUUCUAAGUGAUGCAGUGGAAGAUGUUGAUAGUGUGCAACAAUCAUCAACCAAGUUGGCCAAAGAUAUUAAAAAGGAGAAAUAGUUAGCUUCAGAAUUUUUAAGUUUAAAAUUAACGUUGCCUUAUGCUCAAAACAAUUAAGUUAUUUAAGUUGUAACAUUCUGUUUGGUUAUCUUUAUCUGGUACUAAGAUUUUCAUGAUAGUUCAAAUCAUCUAUUUCUAUAGACAAAUUGGU